rnacentral:rRNA from 1 species
UGGGGAAUCUUCCGCAAUGGACGAAAGUCUGACGGAGCAACGCCGCGUGAGUGAAGACGGCCUUCGGGUUGUACAGCUCUGUGAUCCGGGACGAAAGAGCCUGAGGUGAAUAGCCUCAGGAAGUGACGGUACCGGAAAAGCAAGCCACGGCUAACUACGUGCCAGCAGCCGCGGUAAUACGUAGGUGGCAAGCGUUGUCCGGAAUCAUUGGGCGUAAAGCGCGCGCAGGCGGCUUCCUAAGUCCAUCUUAAAAGUGCGGGGCUUAACGCCGUGAUGGGAUGGAAACUGGGAAGCUGGAGUAUCGGAGAGGAAAGGGGAAUUCCUGGUGUAGCGGUGAAAUGCGUAGAGAUGAGGAAGAACACCGGUGGCGAAGGCGACUUUCUGGACGAAAUCUGACGCUGAGUCGCGAAAGCGUGGGGAGCAAACAGG